GUGCUUGCUUAGGCAGCACAUAUACUAAAAUUGGAAUGAUACAGAGAAGAUUAGCAUGUUCCCUAUGCAAGGAUGACAUACAAAUAUUUUUGAAAUAUUAAAAAAAAAU
ensembl:snRNA U6 U6 spliceosomal RNA